AAAAAGGGCAUCUGCCAUGUUUGGCAUAGUUGUGGAAGGGACACUCUGACACAAUUACGGAAUCGCUAUCAAGAGAUUUCGGAUGCAGAAUUUUUGGUACUCGGGGCUGCUAAUGAUCGUUUGUCUUGGCGCCCUA